UUCUGCACGGGCUUCUGGGCAGGCAGCACUAACACUCAGGAGAAGGUCUGCCUCUGUCUGCGCCUUCCUGGUUCAAUGCAGGCAGAUGAGUGUCACAGAUGUAACUGAGGCACUGAAUAAUCAACAUAUCGGAGCCAAUUCCCAGGACGGCAAGAGGGGGAACCGGCAGAGAUGACUGACCCUGGAGGACAAGAGCAUUCUUCUGACAAGUUUUAGCAUGGACUAUCCUCAGGAAAAUGAGAUCCAGGAAGAGUGACGCCCUCCUCGAACUGAAAGAUACUCAGGUUGAUGGAGUCAGGGACGAAGUGGCUUAUCAACAACACAGGAUGUCUGCAGGGAACAGAACUUAUUCAGACAUGGCCCAGAUUGUCUGCCCGUGGGGACUGAGGGACCUCUGAGGGUUACAUCAGGAAGGAGAGGCUGUUUCUACAGGUGCCACAGAAAAAUCGAUGCUGAGCCUCGGAUUAUUGGAUCCCAUAGAACCGUGGAGACUUGGCAGUGAAAUUCUUCCAAAGCAUUCCAUCUGCGCAGGCAGGCAGAGGUUUUCCUGGUUUGGGAAGUAUAAAUCCCGUGGGAAGUCAACUGGAGGACAUUUUACGCGUCACUCAUCCUAUUAUGAGCCUGCUGCUCCUCCGUCUCUUGACAAGGCCACCAACUAGAAGGGCACAGAAUUGUUCAUAAAACAGCUGAAUGUGAAUGUCUUUGGAUUCCCAUUUAAUGAGUUGGCAGCUAAAGGACAGGAGCAGCAAUAAGGCUUCCUGGCUACAUUUUCAUGGUGCCACCAACUGCGAG
rnacentral:lncRNA from 1 species